CUGGGCUGCUGAUCCAGAAUACGGUAUGUGUGUGUCUCCAUUCAUUUCCACAGCAAAACUGCUCCCAUAACAACAGCAGGUAAACC